AACGAACGCUGGCGGCAGGCUUAACACAUGCAAGUCGAGCGCCCCGCAAGGGGAGCGGCAGACGGGGGAGUAACGCGUGGGAAUCUACCCUUUUCUACGGAAUAACGCAGGGAAACUUGUGCUAAUACCGUAUAAGCCCUUCGGGGGAAAGAGUUAUCGGGAAAGGAUGAGCCCGCGUUGGAUUAGCUAGUUGGUGGGGUAAAGGCCUACCAAGGCGACGAUCCAUAGCUGGUCUGAGAGGAUGAUCAGCCACAUUGGGACUGAGACACGGCCCAAACUCCUACGGGAGGCAGCAGUGGGGAAUAUUGGACAAUGGGCGCAAGCCUGAUCCAGCCAUGCCGCGUGAGUGAUGAAGGCCUUAGGGUUGUAAAGCUCUUUCAGUGGGGAAGAUAAUGACGGUACCCACAGAAGAAGCCCCGGCUAACUUCGUGCCAGCAGCCGCCGUAACAC
rnacentral:rRNA from 1 species